AUCGUGAAUGUUUUCUCGUUUGACGUUUGACGGAAUCUAGUUACUAGUUUUGAUCGCCAUUUUGUUUAUUUAUUAAAUAUUAUAAUUGUGUAUGUGUUGUGUGUAUCUACGAUAUUAAAAAGUUUGAUUUAAUUGUCAUCAUCAACAGUUAAUAUUUAGCAAAGUGAAGAUAAUAUAACAUAUAAUUAUUUGAUGUAUUCGAAGACGAGCUUGCAGUGCUUGAUAUGAAAUAAUAUAUCGCAAAUUAUAAUCAUACGAAACGCUUGAUAAAAGGCACUGCAAAUAUCAAUCUUACAGUAAUUAGUAUUGUGUAUAUGCUUUUAUCAUUUUUCUUGACGAGGAAAAUGUGGAUUUAUUUUGUACUCGCCCUGUUUGGCGUAUUUGAUUUUGCAAUGGCUUCCAACAAUUUCGAUUUCGGAGACACCCUAGCAUUAAUCCUGGGAUUAACGAUCGGGAUUAUUGGAUUUUUUGCUUGCAUGGGAGCUUAUGCGAGAAGACGAAGUCACUUUGAAUCCUUAUAAUUUGAAUUGUGAUCUUUUUAAAACGUCUAAUGACACACAAAUAAGACUAUGCUAUUAUAUAAUUAUGGAAUAAAGGAUCGGAUCUAUAAAAUAUAAUGAUAUGAUGAUAAAUAAAAGGAAUGUUUUGAGAUACUCUGUAUAGAUAAAGGAUAGUUUCCAGAGAGAUUCUUAGAAAAUGUUUGUUAAAAUAUUCUAUAACAAUUUUACAGAAUUUGAGUAUAAUACAUAUUGUGUAUAUUUCUGUUGUAAUAAAAAAUAUAGAUGAUAAA